rnacentral:rRNA from 1 species
ACUUAAGGGCUAGUUUUGUGGGCAAAAGCGUAAAGGGUGUGAUAGGCCGUUUUAAUUAAAAAGGGUUUUAUAAUUUAAGAAGGUAAAUGGAAUUUUUUUGUAGCGGUGGAAUGUGUAAAUAGAAAAAAGAACUUUAGACGUGAAGACUAUUUAUUUUUGAGAUUAUAGUGUGAUGGCUAAAACACGAGAGUAUGGGGAGCAAACAGGAUUAGGGACCCUGGUAGUCUAUACUGUAAAUAAUGAAAAAGAUGUGAAGCAAUCCUAAAAAGUCAGAAAUUUUCCGCUUGAGUAGUACGACCGCAAGGUUAAAAUUCAAAAAACUUGGCUGUUCACUGUUUUAAUUAGAGGAGCGUGUCGUUUAAUUCGAUAGUCCGCGAGAGACCUUACCCAAACUUGAAUCCUUCAUUGACAGGUAUUGCA